rnacentral:rRNA from 1 species
GAUGAACGCUGGCGGCGUGCUUAACACAUGCAAGUCGAACGGAAAGGCCCAAGCUUGCUUGGGUACUCGAGUGGCGAACGGGUGAGUAACACGUGGGUGAUCUGCCCUGCACUUCGGGAUAAGCCUGGGAAACUGGGUCUAAUACCGGAUAGGACCACAUUUUGGAUGGUGUGGUGGAAAGUUUUUCGGUGUGGGAUGAGCUCGCGGCCUAUCAGCUUGUUGGUGGGGUAAUGGCCUACCAAGGCGUCGACGGGUAGCCGGCCUGAGAGGGUGUACGGCCACAUUGGGACUGAGAUACGGCCCAGACUCCUACGGGAGGCAGCGGUGGGGAAUAGUGCACAAUGGGCGCAAGCCUGAUGCAGCGACGCCGCGUGGGGGAUGACGGCCUUCGGGUUGUAAACUCCUUUCGCUAGGGACGAAGCGUUAUGUGACGGUACCUGGAGAAGAAGCACCGGCUAACUACGUG